GGUCCACUCCGGCACGACUGCCGAGGUGGAGACGGUCACGCGAGACGGCGUGCGAUCGACGCCGAUCAAGUGCUGAUCACCACCGGGCGCGCACCCAACAUCGAAGGCCUUGGGCUCCCCGAGCACGGCGUCUCUGUUUUGCCGAAAGGUGCGAUCGUCGUCGACGACCGGACGCGAACGACCAAGGUUGGCAUCUAUGCCGCCGGCGAUGUCACCAGCCGCGACCAGUUCGUGAACAUGGCCGCCUAUAGUGCGAAGCUCGCCGCGAAGAACGCCCUCAAUGGCGAUACCUUGCGCUACGACAACAGCGCCUUGCCCCAUCGUGUUCGCCGACCCG
rnacentral:misc_RNA from 1 species